UGUUAAAUGAACUUAAUUGUAUAAAGCAGUUUAGUUGCAAUAACAUAAAGCUAUCUGGGCCAAGGAUUUAGCUCAGUUGUUCUGCUGCCUGCCUCACAAGUGCAAGGUCCCGAGUUCGAUCUCCGGUACCAAAAAAAAAAAAAAGCAUAAAGCUAUCAUAAUUUUUACUUAUAAUGUGAGUUAUAGUUAUUAUUUUACUCGUUUUACAGAUGAGGAAACAGUUUU
rnacentral:lncRNA from 1 species